rnacentral:sRNA from 1 species
GUCAGAAACUCCUCCCAUAAAUGGGAGGGCGCAUAAAUUGCCAUCAUCUGACCAAAUUCAGUACCUUCCAUACUACCUUUGAGGACUAUCAUUCCAGUCCUACCAAGGAAAGUGCCAAGUCCCCUGCUCUAGAAAUCGAGGACUAAAGAGGUUUAAAGGGUCUUGGGGUCUCCCCCAGUGGAGAAACUGGUGUAUCAAAAGCUGCCAGUUAGGCA